rnacentral:rRNA from 1 species
CCUACGGGGCGCAGCAGUGAGGAAUAUUGGUCAAUGGGCGAGAGCCUGAACCAGCCAAGUCGCGUGAAGGAUGACGGCCCUACGGGUUGUAAACUUCUUUUGUCAGGGAGCAAUUGGGUCCACGUGUGGGCUUAGCGAGAGUACCUGAAGAAAAAGCAUCGGCUAACUCCGUGCCAGCAGCCGCGGUAAUACGGAGGAUGCGAGCGUUAUCCGGAGUUAUUGGGUUUAAAGGGUGCGUAGGCGGGCUGUUAAGUCAGCGGUCAAAUGUCGGGGCUCAACCCCGGCCUGCCGUUGAAACUGGCGGG